CAGUAGGGUGUUUGAAUCCCCCCCCAAAGGAUGAACAUCUGUCAACAAGGUGGUUCAUUGGCAUUCUGCUGUGAAGAGGGAAGAAAUCUGCCUGUAGCAACACAGCAAUGGCAAGGAAAGUCAUCAUAUCAGGACAAAGCUGAACACACUCGCCCAGACUGGAGCUGCAGUCAAGUCAGCCUGCACUUUACCUGUGCUCUGGCCACUCACUGCCAUCCUACUGGAGUUACUGCAAGUCUGAAGAGGAGAAGUUGUGGUGACAGUAAAGGACGAACAGCAGCAAAGAGCAGAACGAGAGGGGACAUCAUCUUGGCUCAAAUACUGGGAAGACGUCUGAGGUAUUUCCAGAGAAAUGUUCUGAGAACGUCUGAGCUGUUGAAAAGAAAUCUAAAGUGAAUGGAUAACAACUGGAGAAAAUGGGUUGAAAGGAAGAGAGUCCAAAAAGGAGAUAGGAGUAGGAUAUAAGGCAAUUUGGAAGAUGGCUGAAAUACUUCGAACGACUGAGGAGAAAACUGAACAACUAAAAAUGUAGAGGGGAAAACCAAAAAAAUUCAAGCAUUAAGCAAUAAAGAGAAAUGAGCAAAAUAAAUGCAUAAGACUAAAAGUGGAAAAGAGGAAAGAAUGAAAGAUAGGAGAGAAAGCAUAUGAAUGGAUUGAUGACAAAGGACAAACAGGAACGCAAGAAGUGGAUGGAUGUGUAAAUUAAUUUGGAGAGACAUCAUGUCCUUAACAUUGUCAUGUGGGCAUGAUGUGAGUUUUACUGACAACUUCAAAGUGAGCGGGACAGGGGAAUAUUCAGGAGUCAUAAACUACAGAUGAAUCUGGGUAGUUCAGAACUGACGACAUCAGAUUUUGGAAAUGGGCUUGUGAAAUACUGUUCGAAGUAGAAAACAGAUAAACUGACCGGUGCCAGGACCUGGGGUUUGUUUUGGUGGAGAGAAUCCAAAUCUCAUGCUGCUCUACUAAUGAGCUGGUGCUUGUAGUCUUAGUUUGGCUUUCUUUAGUAAAUUCUAUAAAGGGAAUGAAAUUCAAAAUCAGUAUUGGUUUUGAGUUUGAGAAGGCUUGUAUUUCUUCAAACGUGUAUCUUAAGUAAUCCAGGCCUUACCUGGACUCUUUGAACCCUCAAAAUUAAGCUGGAAAGAAUCUUUGAAAGCUGAGAUCAGUUAUUUAUAUCAGAAAAUUUUCUAGCCAAUGUUAAGGUAGCAACUCUAUUAUCCAAGAUCAGGGCUAGACAAUAUCUCGAGGCUUUCCUAUUUUCCAUACCAUUCUUUGACUGCUCUGAGUGCUAGUUUGAAACCGCUCAGUGUGUGAACUUCCGCUCAACACAAGACAGCGCUUCUUUUUCUCCAAAAAUUCCUUGCAUGGCUCUAAGGAUGAGAC
rnacentral:lncRNA from 1 species